AAUGAACGCUGGCGGCGUGCCUAACACAUGCAAGUCGUACGAGAAAGGGGCUUCGGCCCUGAGUAGAGUGGCGCACGGGUGAGUAACGCGUGGGUAAUCUGCCCUUGGAUUUGGGAUAACUCUGCGAAAGUGGAGCUAAUACCGGAUAGUCUGGCUUUAAUUGAUAAGUCGGUAAAGGAUGCCUCUGCAUAUGCAUUCGUCCAAGGAUGAGCCCGCGUCUCAUUAGCUAGUUGGUAGGGUAAUGGCCUACCAAGGCAACGAUGAGUAGCUGGUCAGAGAGGAUGAUCAGCCACACUGGAACUGAAACACGGUCCAGACUCCUACGGGAGGCAGCAGUGGGGAAUAUUGCGCAAUGGGCGAAAGCCUGACGCAGCAACGCCGUGUGAGGGAUGAAGGCUUUCGGGUCGUAAACCUCUGUCGGAAGGGAAGAACGGGUGAGGGUCUAAUAGGCCUUCAUUUUGACGGUACCUUUAGAGGAAGCACCGGCUAACUCCGUGCCAGCAGCCGCGGUAAUAC
rnacentral:rRNA from 1 species